UACAGAGGGUGCAAGCGUUAAUCGGAAUUACUGGGCGUAAAGGGCUCGUAGGCGGUCUGUCGCGUCGGGAGUGAAAACUCAGGGCUUAACCCUGAGCCUGCUUCCGAUACGGGCAGACUAGAGGUAUGCAGGGGAGAACGGAAUUCCUGGUGUAGCGGUGGAAUGCGCAGAUAUCAGGAGGAACACCGAGUGGCGAAGGCAGAUCUCUGGGCCGUAACUUGACGCUGAGGAGCGAAAGCAUGGGGAGCGAACAGG
rnacentral:rRNA from 1 species